rnacentral:rRNA from 1 species
UACGAAGGGAGCUAGCGUUGUUCGGAAUCACUGGGCGUAAAGCGCACGUAGGCGGAUUUGUCAGUCAGGGGUGAAAUCCCGGGGCUCAACCUCGGAACUGCCUUUGAUACAGCAAGUCUUGAGUUCGAGAGAGGUGGGUGGAAUUCCUAGUGUAGAGGUGAAAUUCGUAGAUAUUAGGAGGAACACCGGUGGCGAAGGCGGGUCUCUGGGCAACAACUGACGCUGAGGAGCGAAAGCGUGGGGAGCGAACAGG